UACGGAGGGGGCUAGCGUUGUUCGGAAUUACUGGGCGUAAAGCGCACGUAGGCGGCUUUGCAAGUUAGAGGUGAAAGCCCGGGGCUCAACUCCGGUAAUUGCCUUUAAAACUGCAUCGCUAGAAUUGUGGAGAGGUAAGUGGAAUUCCGAGUGUAGAGGUGAAAUUCGUAGAUAUUCGGAAGAACACCAGUGGCGAAGGCGGACUUACUGGACACAGUAUUGACGCUGAGGUGCGAAAGCGUGGGGAG
rnacentral:rRNA from 1 species